GGGGGGCUGAGGCAGGCCCGGCAGGGCGGAGUGCAGCACCUGAGCUGGAAAUACAUCUGGAGAACGUACCACCUCACCUACAAUGGAGAGAAGCUGGCGGAUGACAGGAAGAAGCUGAGAGAGUAUGGCAUCAGGAACCGGGAUGAGGUCAGCUUCAUAAAGAAGCUUCGGAAGUAACCUGUGGGAGACAGCAGAGAAACCAGCCCUACCAAGACUAGAUUGUGGAUUCAGCACCUUCCUGGAGGAAAAGGUUGUUACAAUGCAAAGAGGAACAAACUCCAUUGACUGGACAUUCCCACGUUUUUUACAGUUGCUGUUUGUGGUGUUUGCCUCUGAGCUGUAUGUGGAUUCCAGGGAUUAAACAGACCCUCUAGUUUUCUGAGGCUUUUCAAGCUCUUGUUUCCAGCCGUGUCUGGCUGGUUUGGGUUCUCCACAGGGCACAUGAAGCAGCAGAAGUGAGAUUCAGUAACAAAGGUAGGCACAGACUACUCAGAACAAUUCACAGUAGCUAAAACGCUACCUCACUGUUUAAUCACCACCUUAGCAGUAGUAAACAACUCUGGUUAAAAAUGUAGUAUUGAAACUAGUGUAAUAAAAAUAAUGGCAGCAGAAAAGGUUCAAUACAAUUGAACAAGGCACAAACGUUCUGUUUUCAGAGUCUUCUGAGAUAAGGCAAACCAUGCCUGCCAAGUGCUAAGGAGACAGUUUAAAUUAACCACGGGCAGGGUUAGAAGUGUCAUUGGAUUAGAGGCUUUGUCCCCAUGGAACUGGCACAGCAUAUGCAAAGACAUUCCAUCUCCAGGGCCUGCUCGAGAAGGCAGCCUUUGCUGUCAGUGGAGCUGUGCAUCCAGGUCGUAUUUCUCGCAGAACUUGUCUGUGAA